rnacentral:tRNA from 1 species
ACGCCCGUAGCUCAGCUGGAUAGAGCGAUAGCCUCCGGAGCUAUAGGUCAUGGGUUCGAAUCCCGUCGGGCGUACCA